GUGCCAGCCGCCGCGGUAAUACAUAGGGGUCAAGCGUUGUCCGGAUUUAUUGGGCGUAAAGAGCCCGUAGGAGGUUCAACAAGUCGGUCGUAAAAGUUUAGGGCUCAACCCUAAAAUGUCGAUCGAUACUGUUGUGACUAGGAUACGGUGGAGGUGAAUGGAAUUCCGAGUGUAGCGGUGAAAUGCGUAGAUAUUCGGAGGAACACCAAUUGCGAAGGCAGUUCACUGGACCGUGAUCGACGCUGAGGAGCGAAAGCUAGGGGAGCAAACAAGAUUAGAUA
rnacentral:rRNA from 1 species